rnacentral:rRNA from 1 species
AUUGAACGCUGGCGGCAUGCCUUACACAUGCAAGUCGAACGGUAGCGGGCUUUCGGGUGCCGACGAGUGGCGAACGGGUGAGUAAUGUAUCGGAACGUACCUUUCAGUGGGGGAUAACGUAGCGAAAGUUGCGCUAAUACCGCAUAUUCUGUGAGCAGGAAAGCAGGGGAUCGCAAGACCUUGCGCUGAUUGAGCGGCCGAUAUCAGAUUAGCCAGUUGGUGAGGUAAAGGCUCACCAAGGCGACGAUCUGUAGCGGGUCUGAGAGGAUGAUCCGCAACACUGGAACGGAGUCACGGUCCAGACUCCUACGGGAGGCAGCAGUGGGGAGUUUUGUACAAUGCGGGCAACCCUGAUCCAGCGAUGCCGCGUGGGUGAAGAAGGCCUUAGGGUUGUAAAGCUCUUGCGGCCGGGAAGAAAUCGUAUCAGCUAAUACCUGGUGCGGAUGACGGUACCGGCAUAAGAAGCACCGGCUAACUACGUGCCAGCCGCCGCGGUAAGAC